rnacentral:rRNA from 1 species
CCUACGGGUGGCAGCAGUGAGGAAUAUUGGUCAAAGGUCGGGAGACUGAACCAGCCAAGCCGCGUGAGGGAUGAAGGUACAGAGUAUCGUAAACCUCUUUUGUCAGGGAACAAAGGCGGGGACGUGUCCGCGGAUGAGUGUACCUGAAGAAAAAGCAUCGGCUAACUCCGUGCCAGCAGCCGCGGUAAUACGGAGGAUUCGAGCGUUAUCCGGAUUUAUUGGGUUUAAAGGGUGCGCAGGCGGUCUGUUAAGUCAGUUGUCAAAGGCCGGGGCUCAACCCCAGGACCGCCGUUGAAACUGGCAGUCUCGAGUUGGAGAGAGGUAUGCGGAAUGCGCGGUGUAGCGGUGAAAUGCAUAGAUAUCGCGCAGAACUCCGAUUGCGAAGGCAGCAUGCCGGCUCCACACUGACGCUGAGGCACGAAAGCGUGGGUAUCGAACAGGAUUAGAUACCCCGGUAGUC